rnacentral:rRNA from 1 species
GCCAGACUCCUACGGGAGGCAGCAGUGAGGAAUAUUGGUCAAUGGCCGAGAGGCUGAACCAGCCAAGUCGCGUGAGGGAUGACGGCCCUACGGGUUGUAAACCUCUUUUGUCGGGGAGCAAAAGCCGGACGUGUCCGGCUGUGAGAGUACCCGAAGAAAAAGCAUCGGCUAACUCCGUGCCAGCAGCCGCGGUAAUACGGAGGAUGCGAGCGUUAUCCGGAUUUAUUGGGUUUAAAGGGUGCGCAGGCGGAUUUUUAAGUCAGCGGUCAAAUCGUGGGGCUCAACCCCAUCCAGCCGUUGAAACUGGGGAUCUAGAGUGUGCGAGAGGUAUGCGGAAUGCGUGGUGUAGCGGUGAAAUGCAUAGAUAUCACGCAGAACUCCGAUUGCGAAGGCAGCAUACCGGCGCCCUACUGACGCUGAGGCACGAAAGCGUGGGUAUCGAACAGGAUUAGAUACCCUUGUAAA